UACAGAGGUCUCAAGCGUUGUUCGGAUUCAUUGGGCGUAAAGGGUGCGUAGGUUGAUUGGUAAGUUAGUGGUGAAAUACUACAGCGCAACUGUGGAACUGCCAUUAAUACUAUCAAUCUUGAAUGCAGUGGAGGCGGGCGGAAUGUGUCAUGUAGCGGUGAAAUGCUUAGAUAUGACACAGAACACCAAUUGCGAAGGCAGCUUGCUACACUGUGAUUGACACUGAGGCACGAAAGCGUGGGGAUCAAACAGG
rnacentral:rRNA from 1 species